GCGGCGAACGGGUGAGUAACACGUGGGUAACCUGCCCUGUACUCUGGGAUAAGCCUGGGAAACUAGGUCUAAUACCGGAUAUGACCUGCCUCCGCAUGGUGGUGGGUGGAAAGUUCCGGCGGUACAGGAUGGACCCGCGGCCUAUCAGCUUGUUGGUGGGGUAAUGGCCUACCAAGGCGACGACGGGUAGCCGGCCUGAGAGGGUGACCGGCCACACUGGGACUGAGACACGGCCCAGACUCCUACGGGAGGCAGCAGUGGGGAAUAUUGCACAAUGGGCGAAAGCCUGAUGCAGCGACGCCGCGUGAGGGAUGACGGCCUUCGGGUUGUAAACCUCUUUCAGCGGGGACGAAGGGCAACUGACGGUACCCGCAGAAGAAGCACCGGCUAACUACGUGCCAGCAGCCGCGGUAAUACGUAGGGUGCGAGCGUUGUCCGGAAUUAUUGGGCGUAAAGAGCUCGUAGGCGGUUUGUUGCGUCGGCUGUGAAAACUUCACGCUUAACGUGGAGCCUGCAGUCGAUACGGGCAGACUUGAGUUCGGCAGGGGAGACUGGAAUUCCUGGUGUAGCGGUGAAAUGCGCAGAUAUCAGGAGGAACACCGGUGGCGAAGGCGGGUCUCUGGGCCGAUACUGACGCUGAG
rnacentral:rRNA from 2 species